GAUGAAGAACGCAGCGAAAUGCGAUAAGUAGUGUGAAUUGCAGAAUUCAGUGAAUCAUCGAAUCUUUGAACGCACAUUGCGGCCAUAGGUAUUCCUUUGGCCAUGCCUGUUCGAGCGUCAUUUACACCCUCAAGCCUAGCUUGGUGUUGGGCGUCUGUCCCGCCGUUUUCGCGCGCGGACUCGCCUCAAAGUCAUUGGCGGCGGUCGUGCCGGCCCCCUCGCGCAGCACAUUUGCGCUUCUCGGAGGCCCGGCGGAUCCGCGCUCCAGCAAGACCUUUCACGACUUGACCUCGGAUCAGGUAGGGAUACCCGCUGAACUUAAGCAUAUCAAUAACGGAGGA
rnacentral:misc_RNA from 1 species